CGGGACACGUGGUAUCCUGUCUGAAUAUGGGGGGACCAUCCUCCAAGGCUAAAUACUCCUGACUGACCGAUAGUGAACCAGUACCGUGAGGGAAAGGCGAAAAGAACCCCGGCGAGGGGAGUGAAAAAGAACCUGAAACCGUGUACGUACAAGCAGUGGGAGCCUCUUAAUGGGGUGACUGCGUACCUUUUGUAUAAUGGGUCAGCGACUUAUAUUCUGUAGCAAGGUUAACCGAAUAGGGGAGCCGAAGGGAAACCGAGUCUUAACUGGGCGUUAAGUUGCAGGGUAUAGACCCGAAACCCGGUGAUCUAGCCAUGGGCAGGUUGAAGGUUGGGUAACACUAACUGGAGGACCGAACCGACUAAUGUUGAAAAAUUAGCGGAUGACUUGUGGCUGGGGGUGAAAGGCCAAUCAAACCGGGAGAUAGCUGGUUCUCCCCGAAAGCUAUUUAGGUAGCGCCUCGUGAAUUCAUCUCCGGGGGUAGAGCACUGUUUCGGCAAGGGGGUCAUCCCGACUUACCAACCCGAUGCAAACUGCGAAUACCGGAGAAUGUUAUCACGGGAGACACACGGCGGGUGCUAACGUCCGUCGUGAAGAGGGAAACAACCCAGACCGCCAGCUAAGGUCCCAAAGUCAUGGUUAAGUGGGAAACGAUGUGGGAAGGCCCAGACAGCCAGGAUGUUGGCUUAGAAGCAGCCAUCAUUUAAAGAAAGCGUAAUAGCUCACUGGUCGAGUCGGCCUGCGCG
rnacentral:rRNA from 1 species